rnacentral:rRNA from 1 species
UACGUAGGGACCGAGCGUUGUCCGGAAUCAUUGGGCGUAAAGAGCGUGUAGGCGGCCACUUAAGUCCUGCGUGAAAUCUUGCGGCUCAACCGCAAGCGGUCGUGGGAAACUGGGUGGCUAGAGUGCGGGAGAGGAGAGUGGAAUUCCUGGUGUAGCGGUGGAAUGCGCAGAUAUCAGGAAGAACACCCGUGGCGAAGGCGGCUCUCUGGAACGCAACUGACGCUGAGACGCGAAGGCGUGGGGAGCGAACGGG